UACGGAGGGUGCAAGCGUUGUCCGGAUUUAUUGGGUUUAAAGGGUGCGUAGGCGGCUAAUUAAGUCAGUGGUGAAAUACAGCAGCUCAACUGUUGAGGUGCCAUUGAUACUGAAUAGCUUGAGUACAGAUGAGGUAGGCGGAAUUUAUGGUGUAGCGGUGAAAUGCAUAGGUACCAUAAAGAACACCGAUUGCGAAGGCAGCUUACUAAGCUGUAACUGACGCUGAGGCACGAAAGCGUGGGGAGCGAACAGG
rnacentral:rRNA from 1 species